AAAAAUACGCCGACUGUUGUGAGCCAGCCUCUCCGACGAGGGAAGCCGGAAGUCAUGGGACGUUUGUGACGUCAAAGAUUUAAAAAUUACUCUGCAGAUAAAAAGAAAGGAUUCCUGGUUCUGCUUCUUGUGAGAGUGUCACGUGACCAACAACUCAACAACUGGCUCGCAGCCUGUUUGCCUGACUACUUGCCCCCAAGCCAUACCGCAUACCUCACACCGCCGUGGACAGAGCUCAUGGCGCAGCACACCUCCAUCACACCGCAGCGCUAACGGUUCCUCGGCUCAGCAUAUUAAUAAUGCAGCGUCUUCAACAACAAGACGGAAAACUGAUGAAGUUGUGUGUCAUCAGUUCGUUGUGGGAUCUUAAUUUGCCCUGCAAAAGUUCAAACAUAGGCCCUGGAUAAAAUCUGUUGUAUUGUUCUAAG